rnacentral:rRNA from 1 species
UGGGGAAUUUUGGACAAUGGGCGAAAGCCUGAUCCAGCAAUGCCGCGUGUGUGAAGAAGGCCUUCGGGUUGUAAAGCACUUUUGUCCGGAAAGAAAUCCUUGGCUCUAAUACAGUCGGGGGAUGACGGUACCGGAAGAAUAAGCACCGGCUAACUACGUGCCAGCAGCCGCGGUAAUACGUAGGGUGCAAGCGUUAAUCGGAAUUACUGGGCGUAAAGCGUGCGCAGGCGGUUUGCUAAGACCGAUGUGAAAUCCCCGGGCUCAACCUGGGAACUGCAUUGGUGACUGGCAGGCUAGAGUAUGGCAGAGGGGGGUAGAAUUCCACGUGUAGCAGUGAAAUGCGUAGAGAUGUGGAGGAAUACCGAUGGCGAAGGCAGCCCCCUGGGCCAAUACUGACGCUCAUGCACGAAAGCGUGGGGAGCAAAACAGGAUUAGAUACCCUGGUGAGUCCACGCCCUAAAACGAUGUCAACUAGUUGUUGGGGAUUCAUUCCUUAGUAACGUAGCUAACGCGUGAAGUUGACCGCCUGGGGAGUACGGUCGCAAGAUUAAAACUUAAAUGAAUUGACGGGGUCAUAGCUGUUUCCU